rfam:Myotis lucifugus cont2.47165, whole genome shotgun sequence.
GGCGGUUCUCAGGUGACACACCCUGGAACCAGAGAGGAGGGAGCCUGAUUCCAGGGUGCAUCACCCGAGAACCGCC